GCCUUCUUGGCGCAGUGGUAACGCGUAGCACUUGUAGCUUGAAGCUCAUGCUAAGAUCACAGGUUCGAUUCCUGUAGGAGGCA
rfam:Blumeria graminis f. sp. tritici 96224 unplaced genomic scaffold Scaffold-25, whole genome shotgun sequence.